CCAGUGACUAAGUUCAACGGCCGCGGUAUCCUAACCGUGCGAAGGUAGCGUAAUCACUUGUUCUUUAAAUGAGGACUAGUAUGAAUGGCACCACGAAGGUUAUGCUGUCUCCUUUUUCUAAUCAAUGAAACUGAUCUCCCCGUGAAGAAGCGGGGAUACAACUAUAAGACGAGAAGACCCUAUGGAGCUUUAAACCAUGUAACACUGGUCAUACAUUAAAAUAUUCCAGAAUUUCUCAUAAUUACUCUAGCCACCAUGAUUACUAGUUUUAGGUUGGGGUGACCACGGAGCAAAAAUUAACCUCCAUGUUAAACGGAGCUACUCCUGAGCCAUAAGCCACGACUUUAAGCACUAAUAAAUUAAUAUUAAUUGACCCAAUAUUUUUGAUCAACGAACCAAGUUACCCUAGGGAUAACAGCGCA
rnacentral:rRNA from 1 species